GCCACUCUGCAGCCCUGCUCCUCACAGAGAGCUGUGGAGCUUUUUCUCCUCUUCCUACAAUUCUCCUGUUGGAAGUAACAUUUAUAAUAGAGAAAGUCAUGUUGGGGCAGUACAUGAAGGAGAUGCCUCGAGAACAAGAUCCUGUGGGAAUGCAAUGCAAGCCAGAAUAAUAACAAGCACUGUGGAGAGGAAGUAGUCAGAGAGGCAUUAAAGCAACGCUGGUGACUAGAUGCAGCUACUUCAAGCCAGAUCCCCACUCUUCCAUGGAUACCAUAUUAUUGCUGUGUGAUGGACUGCUGAAUGAAUCACCAUUGCAGAGAGCUGCAGGCAAUGCCCCAGCUAUUGCAUUCGUCUUCCUGACAGUGCCAACCAACAAAUUAAAUCCAACACAUGAGUUAUAAA